AUUGAACGCUGGCGGCAUGCCUAACACAUGCAAGUCGAGCGGAGCGGCGGACGGGUGAGUAAUGCCUAGGAAUCUGCCUGGUAGUGGGGGAUAACGUCCGGAAACGGGCGCUAAUACCGCAUACUAGCAUAUGAGCCUAGGUCGGCUUAGCUAGUUGGUGGGGUAAAGGCCUACCAAGGCGACGAUCCGUAACAGGUCUGAGAGGAUGAUCAGUCACACUGGGACUGAGACACGGUCCAAACUCCUACGGGAGGCAGCAGUAGGGAAUAUUGGACAAUGGGCGAAAGCCUGAUGCAGCCAUGCCGCGUGUGUGAAGAAGGUCUUCGGAUUGUAAAGCUCUUUAAGUUGGGAAGCGUUACCAACAGAAUAAGCACCGGCUAACUACGUGCCAGCAGCCGCGGUAAUAC
rnacentral:rRNA from 1 species